rnacentral:rRNA from 1 species
CCUACGGGGGACUGCAGUGGGGGAUAUUUGACAAUGGGCGGAACCCUGAUCCAGCGACGCCGCGUGAGUGAAGAAGUAUUUCGGGAUGUAAAGCGCUGUCAGCAGGGAGGAAAGAGAUGACGGUACCUGACCAAGAAGCCCCGGCUAACUACGUGCCAGCCGCCGCGGUAAUACGUAGGGGGCAAGCGUUAUCCGGAAUUAGUGGGUGUAAAGGGAGCGUAGACGGGUAAGUAAGUCUGGAGUGAAAGGCCGGGGCCCAACCCCGGGACUGCUCUGGAAACUAUGGAACUUGAGUGCAGGAGAGGUAAGCGGAAUUCGUAGUGUAGCGGUGAAAUGCGUAGAUAUUAGGAGGAACACCAGUGGCGAAGGCGGCUUACUGGACUGUAACUGACGUUGAUGCUCGAAAGCGUGGGGAGCAAACAGGAUUAGAUACCCGUGUAGUC